rnacentral:rRNA from 1 species
GACGAACGCUGGCGGCGUGCUUAACACAUGCAAGUCGAGCGGUAAGGCCCUUUCGGGGGUACACGAGCGGCGAACGGGUGAGUAACACGUGGGUGACCUGCCCUCAGCUCUGGGAUAAGCCUGGGAAACCGGGUCUAAUACUGGAUAUGACUCCAUGACGCAUGUUGUGGGGUGGAAAGCCUUGUGCGGCUGAGGAUGGGCCCGCGGCCUAUCAGCUUGUUGGUGGGGUGAUGGCCUACCAAGGCGACGACGGGUAGCCGGCCUGAGAGGGCGACCGGCCACACUGGGACUGAGACACGGCCCAGACUCCUACGGGAGGCAGCAGUGGGGAAUAUUGGACAAUGGGGGCAACCCUGAUCCAGCGACGCCGCGUGUGUGAAGAAGGCCUGCGGGUUGUAAAGCACUUUUAGUGGGGAUGAAAAGCUCUGGGAUAACACCCCGGGUCUUGACCUAACCUACAGAAAAAGACACCGGCUAACUCUGUGCCAGCAG